AGUGAACGCUGGCGGUAGGCCUAACACAUGCAAGUCGAACGGCAGCACAGUAAGAGCUUGCUCUUACGGGUGGCGAGUGGCGGACGGGUGAGGAAUACAUCGGAAUCUACUUUUUCGUGGGGGAUAACGUAGGGAAACUUACGCUAAUACCGCAUACGACCUACGGGUGAAAGCAGGGGAUCUUCGGACCUUGCGCUAUUGAAUGAGCCGAUGUCGGAUUAGCUAGUUGGCGGGGUAAAGGCCCACCAAGGCGACGAUCCGUAGCUGGUCUGAGAGGAUGAUCAGCCACACUGGAACUGAGACACGGUCCAGACUCCUACGGGAGGCAGCAGUGGGGAAUAUUGGACAAUGGGCGAAAGCCUGAUCCAGCCAUACCGCGUGGGUGAAGAAGGCCUUCGGGUUGUAAAGCCCUUUUGUUGGGAAAGAAAAGCAGCAGGUUAAUACCCCGCUGUUCUGACGGUACCCAAAGAAUAAGCACCGGCUAACUUCGUG
rnacentral:rRNA from 1 species